rnacentral:rRNA from 1 species
GGGUCUUUGCCGAACGCCUUAACCAUUGACAGUCGAGCGGUAGCACAGGGUGAGCUUGCUCCCUGGGUGACGAGCGGCGGACGGGUGAGUAAUGUCUGGGAAACUGCCUGAUGGAGGGGGAUAACUACUGGAAACGGUAGCUAAUACCGCAUAACGUCGCAAGACCAAAGAGGGGGACCUUCGGGCCUCUUGCCAUCAGAUGUGCCCAGAUGGGAUUAGCUAGUAGGUGGGGUAAUGGCUCACCUAGGCGACGAUCCCUAGCUGGUCUGAGAGGAUGACCAGCCACACUGGAACUGAGACACGGUCCAGACUCCUACGGGAGGCAGCAGUGGGGAAUAUUGCACAAUGGGCGCAAGCCUGAUGCAGCCAUGCCGCGUGUGUGAAGAAGGCCUUCGGGUUGUAAAGCACUUUCAGCGAGGAGGAAGGUGGUGAACUUAAUACGUUCAUCAAUUGACGUUACUCGCACAAGAAGCACCGGCUAACUCCGUGCCAGCAGCCGCGGUAAUACGGAGGGUGCAAGCGUUAAUCGGAAUUACUGGGCGUAAAGCGCACGCAGGCGGUUUGUUAAGUCAGAUGUGAAAUCCCCGGGCUCAACCUGGGAACUGCAUUUGAAACUGGCAAGCUAGAGUCUCGUAGAGGGGGGUAGAAUUCCAGGUGUAGCGGUGAAAUGCGUAGAGAUCUGGAGGAAUACCGGUGGCGAAGGCGGCCCCCUGGACGAAGACUGACGCUCACGUGCGAAAGCGUGAGGAGCAAACAGGAUUAGAUACCCUGGUAGUCUACGCUGUAAACGAUGUCGAUUUCGAGGUUGUGCCCUUGAGGCGUGGAUUCCGGAGCUAACGCGUUAAAUCGACCGCCUGGGGAGUACGGCCGCAAGGGUUAAAACUCACAUGAAUUUGACGGGGGCUCGCACAAGCGGUGGGAGCAUGUGGUUUACUUCCAUGCAACGCGAAGAACCCUUACCUACUCUUGACAUCCAGAGCAACUUUUCAGAGAGGGAUUG